rnacentral:rRNA from 1 species
GCUUGUCUAAAAGAUUAAGCCAUGCAAGUGUAAGUAUAAAUAGACAAAUUAUUGUACUAUGAGACUGCGAAUGGCUCAUUAAAUCAGCAAUCAUUUAUUCGGUGGAUGAAGUAAUUCUAAAAUGGAUAACCGUGGGAAAUCUAGAGCUAAUACAUGCAAAAGAGAAUUCCUUUAACAAAGGAAUGCAUAUAUUAGAUACAAAUCCAAAAUAUAAAAGGUGAAUCAUAAUAUUUAUAGCAAAUCAUAUAAGAAAGAGUAAUCUUUUUUGAUGAUAAACCGAUCAAAUUUCUGCCCUAUCAUACUUUGGACGGUAAUGUAGUGGAUUACGGUGGUGAUGACGGGUAACGGAGAAUUAGGGUUUGAUUCCGGAGAGGGAGCAUGAGAAAUGGCUACCACUUCCAAGGAAGGCAGCAGGC